rnacentral:rRNA from 1 species
CCUACGGGAGGCAGCAGUGAGGAAUAUUGGUCAAUGGGCUUACGCCUGAACCAGCCAAGUCGCGUGAGGGAAGACUGCCCUAUGGGUUGUAAACCUCUUUUGUCAGGGAGCAACGCCGGCUACGUGUAGCCGGACUGAGAGUACCUGAAGAAAAAGCAUCGGCUAACUCCGUGCCAGCAGCCGCGGUAAUACGGAGGAUGCGAGCGUUAUCCGGAUUUAUUGGGGUUAAAGGGUGCGUAGGCGGAAUGCCAAGUCAGCGGUAAAAGCGCGGGGCUCAACCUCGCUCCGCCGUUGAAACUGGCGUUCUUGAGUGGGCGAGAGGUAUGCGGAAUGCGUGGUGUAGCGGUGAAAUGCAUAGAGAUCACGCAGAACUCCGAUUGCGAAGGCAGCAUACCGGCGCCCAACUGACGCUGAAGCACGAAAGCGUGGGUAUCGAACAGGAUUAGAUACCCUUGUAGUC